rnacentral:rRNA from 1 species
UACGAAGGGGGCUAGCGUUGUUCGGAAUCACUGGGCGUAAAGCGCACGUAGGCGGAUCUUUAAGUCAGGGGUGAAAUCCCGAGGCUCAACCUCGGAACUGCCUUUGAUACUGGGGAUCUCGAGUCCGGGAGAGGUGAGUGGAACUGCGAGUGUAGAGGUGAAAUUCGUAGAUAUUCGCAAGAACACCAGUGGCGAAGGCGGCUCACUGGCCCGAUACUGACGCUGAGGCACGAAAGCGUGGGAGCAAC